rnacentral:rRNA from 1 species
GUGGGGAAUCUUGCGCAAUGGGCGAAAGCCUGACGCAGCCAUGCCGCGUGAAUGAUGAAGGUCUUAGGAUUGUAAAAUUCUUUCACCGGGGACGAUAAUGACGGUACCCGGAGAAGAAGCCCCGGCUAACUUCGUGCCAGCAGCCGCGGUAAUACGAAGGGGGCUAGCGUUGCUCGGAAUUACUGGGCGUAAAGGGCGCGUAGGCGGACAGUUUAGUCAGAGGUGAAAGCCCAGGGCUCAACCUUGGAAUUGCCUUUGAUACUGGCUGUCUUGAGUACGGGAGAGGUGAGUGGAACUCCGAGUGUAGAGGUGAAAUUCGUAGAUAUUCGGAAGAACACCAGUGGCGAAGGCGACUCACUGGCCCGUUACUGACGCUGAGGCGCGAAAGCGUGGGGAGCAAACAGGAUUAGAGACCCCAGUAGUCC